rnacentral:rRNA from 1 species
AUUGAACGCUGGCGGCAGGCCUAACACAUGCAAGUCGAGCGGUUGAGGGGAGCUUGCUCCCUGAUUCAGCGGCGGACGGGUGAGUAGUGCCUAGGAAUCCGCCUAUUAGUGGGGGACAACUUUUCGACAGGAACGCUAAUAGCGCAUACGUCCUACGGGAGAAAGCAGGGGACCGUCCGGCCUUGCGCUAAUAGAUGAGCCUAGGUCGGAUUAGCUAGUUGGUGAGGUAAUGGCUCACCAAGGCGACGACCCGUAACUGGUCUGAGAGGAUGAUCAGUCACACUGGAACUGAGACACGGUCCAGACUCCUACGGGAGGCAGCAGUGGGGAAUAUUGGACAAUGGGCGAAAGCCUGAUCCAGCCAUGCCGCGUGUGUGAAGAAGGUCUUCGGAUUGUAAAGCACUUUAAGUUGGGAGGAAGGGUUGUAGAUUAAUACUCUGCAAUUUUGACGUUACCGACAGAAUAAGCACCGGCUAACUCUGUGCCAGCCGCCGCAGUAAGAC